AUAAAAACUACGAAAUGUGUUAUUCUCUUCAAGACACAAAUCCACCAAAAGUUUUACCACCACCAACGGAAUCAAGUUUUAAAGUUGACAUUUGUCAGUUACCGCAGGAGUGGUGAGAGAGGAAAAGACGAAAUUGAUAUGCGUGAAGUUUUGUCAACAAACAAAGAUUGAAAUGCACUAACCGCUUCAUUCUUUCACUUGCUGCAGUGGUAUUAUUGUCAUUGCCGUUGUUGCUGCUGGUAAAUUAUGCAAUGUGGCAUCUCUACAAACAUUGUUCGUUUACUGUAUGCAUAUUAGGAAAGAUUCAGUAGUGAAUUGCAAUAGAACCGAAAAAUUAACUUAAUAUGCUGGAAUAAAUGAUACAUUUCAAUA